GUCAUUGUGGUAUGCAGUGGAAUGAUGACUCUUUCUCUUUCUUGUAGAGAAGCUCUUGUUUCACUUUAAUGUGUGUAUGUUCUGUGUGUAGAUGAAGAUCCUGUAUAUCCAUUCUCUGCUGUGUGAAUGUUAUCGGUGCCGUCCUGCUGACCCGCUGGCUCUGAAUAACGAUGAUGUUUGCUUCAUUUGUGACUCUGACGGAGACGAUGACGGACAGCUGGUGUGCUGUGACGAGUGUCCACGAGCGUUCCAUCCGAACUGCCACUUACCACCUUUACAAAACAACGCACACGGGGAGAAAUGGACGUGCACUUUCUGUAUUUGGAGGAUUAACCAUCAAAUGUGGACUCACAUGAGUCUGGAAGAUGCUUUGAACAGUUCUGCAAACCAAAACAUCAUGCGCUGUGAGUAUUUGCUGCUGUGUUU
ensembl:lncRNA